GAUCACAAAAGGCAUGCUGAGAUAAGAAUAGAAAUUCAUACUACUAUGGAAUAUUUCAACAUACCAUGCUGAAAAUGGAAUAGAAGAUAUUGAUAAUAAUACUGGUGUUUUUCAAUAUGACUGUACAAGAGAUCACACAAGGCAUGCUGGGAUAAGAAUAGAAAUUUAUACUACUAUGGAAUAUUUCAACAUACCAUUCUGAAAAUGGAAUAGAAGAUAUUGAUAAUAAUACUGGUGUUUUUCAAUAUGACUGUACAAGAGAUCACACAAGGCAUGCUGGGAUAAGAAUAGAAAUUUAUACUACUAUGGAAUAUUUCAACAUACCAUUCUGAAAAUGGAAUAGAAGAUAUUGAUAAUAAUACUGGUGUUUUUCAAUAUUACUGUACAAGAGAUCACACAAGGCAUGCUGAGAUAAGAA